GUUUUUGUAGUUGAAGUACAACGAUGAUUUUUCAUGUCAUUAGUCAUGGUUUGGAUUCCAUGUAGAAACU
rnacentral:tRNA from 1 species